CCCUUGUUAAUUGGGUAUUCACUUUGCCUGGCCUGGUAACCUAGAGUCGGAGCCCCGCCCCUUAGGAGGUGGUAGUGGAGAGUCGGGGGAGGAGGGGACUCUCUUCCUCCCCGAGUGGUCCUUGAAGAGGAAGACCCCCACCCCAAAUGUGUGGCCAAGAAAACCAUUCAUGAAUUGAAGGAAUACAGUGUCUCACAAACAGUGGAACAUUGUUCCUGAGAGAUUUGGGUGAGAGUUGUCUCCAGAAUCCAGCAAACCAUGAGUUUGGCAGUUCUAAGUGCGCUGAAGCACUAAGGACCAGUAUAAUAUUUCACACAGGAAGCCAUCCCACUGACAUUCCAGGAGGACAUGAAAUGAUAUUUUCAGAUAGCUGAUGCCUAUAUACCAGGAAGUUCCCAGCAUUUUAUAGUUAUCAGCUUCUUAAAGCUGACAACAUUCUGUGAGGUACUGUCACUGCCCUCAUCUUAAAGAUGAGGACAUUGAUGUGGAGAGAGAACAUAAGUGGGGAAGCGGCAGAGAGAGAGGGGGACAGAGGAUCUGAAGCCAGUUCUGCGGUGACAGGCUGACAUCAUUGAGCCUGAUGUGGAGCUCGAGAUCACGGACCAUGAGAUCAUGGUCUGAGCUGAAGUUGGAUGCUCGACUGAGCCUCCCAGGUGCCCCUCAACUAAGAAUCAUUAACUUUAGUAUCAUAGAAGGAAUGGAGACAGCUUGGUCAGUAUAGCUGCAUGC